rnacentral:rRNA from 1 species
AUUGAACGCUGGCGGCAGGCCUAACACAUGCAAGUCGAACGAGUGGCGGACGGGUGAGUAAUGUCUGGGAAACUGCCUGAUGGAGGGGGAUAACUACUGGAAACGGUAGCUAAUACCGCAUACCAUCGGAUGUGCCCAGAUGGGAUUAGCUAGUAGGUGGGGCAAAGGCUCACCUAGGCGACGCUCCCUAGAUGGUCUGAGAGGAUGACCAGCCAACCUGGAAAGAAGACCCGGUCCAGACUCCUACGGGGGGCAGCAUGGGGGAAUAUUGCACAAUGGGCGCAAGCCUGAUUCAGCCAUGCCGCGUGUAUGAAGAAGGCCUUCGGGUUGUAAAGUACUUUCAUCGGGGAGGCGUUACCCGCAGAAGAAGCACCGGCUAACUCCGUGCCAGCAGCCGCGGUAAUUC